rnacentral:rRNA from 1 species
UUGAACGCUGGCGGCAUGCCUUACACAUGCAAGUCGCACGGCAGCACGGGUGCUUGCACCUGGUGGCGAGUGGCGAACGGGUGAGUAAUACAUCGGAACAUGUCCUGUAGUGGGGGAUAGCCCGGCGAAAGCCGGAUUAAUACCGCAUACGAUCUACGGAUGAAAGCGGGGGACCUUCGGGCCUCGCGCUAUAGGGUUGGCCGAUGGCUGAUUAGCUAGUUGGUGGGGUAAAGGCCUACCAAGGCGACGAUCAGUAGCUGGUCUGAGAGGACGACCAGCCACACUGGGACUGAGACACGGCCCAGACUCCUACGGGAGGCAGCAGUGGGGAAUUUUGGACAAUGGGCGAAAGCCUGAUCCAGCAAUGCCGCGUGUGUUAAGAAGGCCUUCGGGUUGUAAAGCACUUUUGUCCGGAAAGAAAUCCUUGGCCCUAAUACGGUCGGGGGAUGACGGUACCGGAAGAAUAAGCACCGGCUAACUACGUG